rnacentral:rRNA from 1 species
ACAAUCGCGGAUCGCCUUAAGUACGGCGAGUGAGCGGCAAAAGCUCAAAUUCUGAAAUCUGGUACCUUCGGUGCCCGAGUUGUAAUUUGGAGAGGGCAACUUUGGGGCCGUUCCUUGUCUAUGUUCCUUGGAACAGGACGUCAUAGAGGGUGAGAAUCCCGUGUGGCGAGGAGUGCGGUUCUUUGUAAAGUGCCUUCGAAGAGUCGAGUUGUUUGGGAGUGCAGCUCUAAGUGGGUGGUAAAUUCCAUCUAAAGCUAAAUAUUGGCGAGAGACCGAUAGCGAACAAGUACAGUGAUGGAAAGAUGAAAAGAACUUUGAAAAGAGAGUGAAAAAGUACGUGAAAUUGUUGAAAGGGAAGGGCAUUUGAUCAGACAUGGUGUUUUGUGCCCUCUGCUCCUUGUGGGUAGGGGAAUCUCGCAUUUCACUGGGCCAGCAUCAGUUUUGGUGGCAGGAUAAAUCCAUAGGAAUGUAACUUGCUUCGGGAAGUAUUAUAGCCUGCGGGAAUACUGCCAGCUGGGACGGAGGACUGCGACGUAAGUCAAGGAUGCUGGCAUAAUGGUUAUAUGCCGCCCGUCUUGAAAACACGGACCA